GCUGGAAGCGGGACGUGCGCAUGUGCGCGGCAAGGACGGUUGAAAGUGGUUCAGGCCGCGUUUCCAAGCGGAAGUGGCGGUGUCGCUCCCAGCCCGGUGGUCUGCGGGGUGCGCUCCGCGGACUCCCACGGCCCCCUUCAUGCCUGGAGCCCAUUCUUGGUUCAUCCUGAGCUGAAUUUCUCCAUUGUGAGGAGGAGGUGGAACCUCCCUGAAGAAAAUAAAGCAACUAGGUAAGCCGACGGGGCACACAGGAUGAGUCCCUCAACCAUGGAAUAACCUCAGCGUGUUCUCCAGAACGUGACCUGGUCGUGACCUUCACAUGGCUCACGGGGCCUCUGCCUGCUGGAUCCGCUCAGUAAGACCCACUGCUCUCCUGGGAGUCCCCACAGCCUCUCAGUGACUUCAGCCUUGUCCCAC
rnacentral:lncRNA from 1 species